rnacentral:rRNA from 1 species
GACGAACGCUGGCGGCGUGCUUAACACAUGCAAGUCGAACGGUGACGAGGAGCUUGCUCCUCUGAUCAGUGGCGAACGGGUGAGUAACACGUGAGCAACCUGCCCCGGACUCUGGGAUAACAGUUGGAAACAGCUGCUAAUACCGGAUACGAGACGGAGAGGCAUCUCUACCGUCUGGAAAGUUUUCGGUCUGGGAUGGACUCGCGGCCUAUCAGCUAGUUGGUGAGGUAAUGGCUCACCAAGGCGACGACGGGUAGCCGGCCUGAGAGGGCGACCGGCCACACUGGGACUGAGACACGGCCCAGACUCCUACGGGAGGCAGCAGUGGGGAAUAUUGCACAAUGGGCGAAAGCCUGAUGCAGCGACGCCGCGUGAGGGAUGACGGCCUUCGGGUUGUAAACCUCUUUCAGCAGGGAAGAAGCGAAAGUGACGGUACCUGCAGAAGAAGCACCGGCUAACUACGUG